AAUUCUCAACCAUACCGGCUUUGCUGCCGGUUUGGCUUGGAUGUGGGGGUUUUUGCGGGCCUUUAACAAGGCCAGCUCCCCUGAAAUGCAUUAGCGGUACCAUUGUGGUCAACAGCUAUUGGUGUGAUAAUUAUCUAUGCCAUUUUGCCGUCCACUUGCUGCUUCAAACCGUCUCUUUUGACAAUCUAAAUGACAA
rnacentral:misc_RNA from 1 species